rnacentral:lncRNA from 1 species
CCGAGACCCGCCUCCGAACCAGGCCCCACCUCCUGAGCCAGGCCCCCGCCCCCGAUUCUGACUCCGCCCUCUCUGUCCUUCGGUGGAGACUCCGGGAAAAACCUGCCUCCCAGUCUGCCCUCUCUCCGUCUGUCUGUGCUUGUUUUUCUACGUUUAUCCCUGUCGCUUUCCCCACUUAUUCUGCAGGCAUGGCGCGCCCCCAGUGCCGGCUUGGUGCCAGGGCUGGGAGAUCCGGGGGUGAAUCGUGAGCCCGGCCCACAGCGAGCUUGCAGUCUAGAGAUCAAGGCAGUCUUGUCCACAACCUGCUGUCACAUAAAGCAAAUGUAGCUGGUGUAGCACCAGGGGCUGCAAUCAAGUGCGGUGGGGCGGCAAUAGUGACCACGGAAAUAAUCAGAAUUGCUUUUAAUUCAGCUCCUACUAUAUUCCCGCAUCCCUGAGCCUCACAAUCAUCCUCCAAGGUAGGUAUUUUUGUCUUUCUCUAACAGAUGAAAACUCUGAGUUUCAGAAGAAUUAAAUGACAUCCCCCCAAAAGAGAGACAGUAUAAGAAUCCAAGUCAACCUGAGUCCAAAACCAGUGGCCCUUAACACUGUGUGGCUUUAUGGAGGACAUGGAGUUUAAGUUUACCUUCAAGGAUGAGCAACACUUUUCUUCAAGCAGAAAAAGAAGGGAAUGGGUGAACACGGUCCCAGGAUGUUCGCUUUGGCAGAUGAUUAGAAUACGUGCUGACUUGAUAGCCACAACUGUCCUGAUAAGAAAGUACGCCGGCCUGGCUGGGCAUGGUGGCUCACGCCUGUAAUCCGAGGAUUUUGGGAGGCCCAGGCGGGCGGAUCACUUGAUGUCAGGAGUUCGAGACCAGCCUGUCCAACAUGGUGAAACCCCGUCUGUACUAAAAAUACAAUAAUUAGCCGAGCAUGAUGGCAUGUGCCUGUAAUCCCAGCUACUCGGGAGGCUGAGGCACGAGAAUCGCUUGAACCUGGAAGGCAGAGGUUGCAGUUACUUUCCCGACAUUGCACCACUGCACUCCAGCCUUGGCGACAAGAGCGAAAUUUUGUCUCAAAAAAGAAAGAAAGAAAGCACUCAGGCCUGACCCAGGACCACAGCAGUGGACAUGGAGGGAGGAGGCUGGGGGUAGUUGGAUUGGUAUGAUAUGUCACUGAGUAAACGAAGGAAGGGACAGAAAGAGAACUCCAAAGUGUCAAAAGCCUGGACAACAGAGAGAAAGCAUCCUUGUCCUAUCAUUUAAAGCACCUGUUGGGCCAAAUAGGGAGCACCUUUCAGAAUCCAUGUGCACAAGAUCUCAGCAAUUCUACGUCCAAGAAUGUAACCUACAUCCAAGAAUGUACUGGAAUUUAAUUCCACAUCCAAGAAUCCCCAUAGGUAGCAAAGAUGUAUAUUUAAGGGUAUUCUCUCAGCUUUGUUUUUAUGUUAGGAGAUUGGGAACAACCUAAAUGCCCAUCAGCUGGUGACUGGCUAGGUUAACUAUUCACAAAUGGAAUACUAGGUAGCCUCCUAAAAGAGGAAAGCAAUUCUACAUAUCCUGAUACAGUGUGGUCACCAGAUAGAUGGCUAAGAUACAAAUAAAACAAACAAGUUGCAGUGUUAGAGUAUGCUAUGUAUCACUCCUUUUUAAGGACAAAAAGAGGAUAUACUUUAACUUUUUAAGAUACCAAAGUAUUUAUUUAUUUAAAAUUUUUUUCACAGAAUUGUUAUAGCAUGUAGAACCAAAAAUUAUUUACAAAUGAAAUUAUUCAAUGUCUGAGAUUUGUGUCAAAAUAAUGGUAUGGGGGUUUAGUGAGUAAGCAUGUAGGUAGAACAAGAUUGUCCAUGAGCUGAUAGUUGUUGAAGCUGGGUGAUCACCUGGGUGUUUUAUACUAUUUGGGUGUUAAACUAUUUUUUUUUCUAUUCUUGUGUAUGUGUCAAAUUUCCACUUAAGAAAAUGGGGGAAAAUGGUGUCAGCCCUCCAUUCCAGCUGAACACACCAUGUUAGUUCAUGCCCCAUCACACCACUCUUCUAGCCAUCUGUCAAUCUUCUCUGCCUGGCAAAUUUCUACUCUUUCAUCAGGACCCAGGAUAAUUAUCACCUUCUCUGAGAGGGCUUUUCCAACCCCUAUAGUCAGAAUCAUUCCUUCUCUAUGCUUGGGGCCCCCUGAGAAAUGUCUCUAAUCCUGUCACAAAUACAUAUUCCAGUGUCAUUAUCCAUCUCCCUAGUAGACAGUGAACAUUUCCAUCAAUGAGACAAUGUCUCAACUAUCUUCUUUCUGUCUCAACCCUUAACCCUGGCACUUAAUACUUGUUUGUUAAAUUCAUGGGUCAGGUCUAGUGAAGACAAUGAUUAGUUGUUUGGUUUGAUACAUACUGACCUUGAGAAGUCAAAGGGAUAUAGGAGGAGAGAAAGUGAAUGAGGAACUGAUGUUACUGAGCCUGUGCUAGGAGACUGCUGGGGCAAGGAAUAGAGUGAGGAGAAAGGAGGCAAGGCUCCUGCUGGCAAGGACCUCACUUUCAUUUCAGCUGGGGAAGAGCAUGGAAAGAUGUCAUUCUAGAGCAUGGUAAGUGCCAUGGAUGAAAUAGACAAGGCAAAACUUAUUCCACUUCAGCAAAGCGAGUGUCAAUAUUCUACUUAUGGAUGAGUGGAUGAACACAUGUUCAGAUGAAAUCACUUGUGCAAAGUUUACAGCUGUUAGUGCUGAACAGGAACAAGCCUUUGUCUGCCAUCAUGUGCGGCCAUGCUUUUUCCUCUGCCCUUCACUGCCAUUCGACAUGCAGGUGACACUCUGGAGCUCGGACCGAACAUUCAGAUUUGGAGGUCAUUCUACAGGAGAUAGUUGAAAUGAGGGGAGGGGAGAAGGUCUCCUAGAAACCACAAGAGAGGGAAAGUAACAGCAGCUGACUUUCAUUGAGUACUUAGUACACUCCAGACCCCAUACUAAGCAUUUUUUUUUUUGAGAUGGAGUCUCGCUCUGUUGCCCUGGCUGGAGUGCAGUGGUGCAAUCUCGGCUCACUGCAACCUCCUCCUCUUGGGUUCAAGCGAUUCUCCUGCCUCAGCCUCCCAAGUAGCUGGGACUACAGGUGUGUGCCACCACGCCCAGCUAAUUUUUUGUAUUUUUAGUAGAGCCAGCAUUUCAUCGUGUUAGUCAGGAUGGUCUUGAUCUCCUGACCUCAUGAUCUGCCCGCCUCAGUCUCCCAAAGUGCUGGGAUUACAGGCGUGAGCCACCGCACCUGGCCCAUACUAAGCCUUUUACACUUUUAAAAGUAAAAGUGAAAUCACUUUGCACAAGUGAUUUCAUCUGAACAUGUGUUCCUCCACUCAUCCAUAAGUAGAAUAUUGACACUUGCUUUGCUGAAGUGGAAUAAGUUUUGCCUUGUCAAUUUGUUUAUUUAUUUAUUUAUUUAUUUAUUUAUUUAUUUAUUCUAUUAUAUAUUUAUUUAUUCCAUAUAACAACCCUCAUUAAGUAGGAACUCUUUUUUGAGGGACAGGGUAUUACUGUGUUGCCCAGGCUAGUCUUGAACUUCUGGCCUGUGGUGUUCCUCCUGCCUUGGCCCCACAGAGUGCUGAGAUUACAGGCUUCAGCCACCAUGCCCGGUCUAAAGUAGGAACUCUUAACAGUCCCACAUUUAUAGCCUGGGAAAAUGAAGCUUAGGAAGAAUGAAGUCAACAGAGCAACAGAGGUCACACACCUCGCAAACAGCAGAGCCCAAAUGUCUUACCAUGCACUACCCUUUUGAGAAAGAAGACUGAAAUCAGGAGCCUGGUAAGGAAAUGGUGGAAACAGUGAAAGAGAACAAGAUGCACUGUUUCAUUUGUGAGAUGAGAAACAGAAAAAAAGAAAUGUCCUGAGAGCCCAAGAAAGACUGUUAGGAAAGGAACUGGGGCAAGUGUCAGAGUCCAUGGAGAAACCCAGCAGGGAAACCUGAGGGUCAUGGCAAUUGGCCAACACGAGGCGAUAAGGGACCUUUGAUGGAGCUAUUUUUGGUGGUGCUAACCUUCUUUGCUACAGGCUCACAACUGGAGCAUCUGCUUGCUUCCUCUGACCUGCCCCCUGGACUCAUGUUGUCAUUCUUCUCGCUCAACCUGUCUGCCUAGGGAAGAAGCCCUGGACUGUGUUUCCCCAAUCUCAGUAUUCCCAACCCUCCUGGCCCCCAACCCAGUACCUGCAGAGCUGACUCUAACCACCCAGUGCACCUCCCGCAGGCUGCAGCAGCCCCCAUCGAGGCCACUCAUUUACAGCACAGGCCCACACAGUCUGACAAAGGACAGCUGCAAUCCUCUGUCAACUGCAGUCCUUUCCCAGGCACAUGCUGGAUUGGGAAACAGGUGGGAGAAAAGAACAGACAUUUAUCAAGCACCUACUCUGUGCCUAGCAUUGUGCUAGGUGCUAGAGAGCCAAAAAUAAAUAGCAGCUGCUCUUGUGGAGGUCACAGUCUUGGAGGAGUUAAAGACACGGAAACAAAUUACAACACAGCGUAACAGCAGUGACAGAAGCACGUAUGAUAUGGUUUGACUGUGGCCCCACCAAAUCUCAUCCUGAAUUGUAGUUCCCAUAAUCCCCACUUGUGGUGGGAGGGGCCCAGUCGGAGGUAAUUGAAUCAUAAGGGUAGUUUCCCCCAUGUUAUUCUCGUGAUAGUGAGUUCUCAUGAGAUCUGAUGGUUUUAUAAGGGGCUUCCCCCUUCACUCAGCUCUCAUUCUUCUCUCUCCUGCCACCAUGUAAAGAAGGAUGUGUUUGGUUUCCCUUCCAUCACGAUUGUAAGUUUCCUGAGGCCUCCUCAGCCAUGUGGAACUGUGAGUCAAUUAAAUCUCUUUCCUUUAUAAAUUACCCAGUCUUGGGUAUUUCUUCAUAGCAGCCUGAGAAGGGACUAAUACAACAUACGAAGUUGGCAGCAAAGUGAGUGGUGGAAAGGAGAGUCAUGGAAAAGCAAACAAGGGAGGGUUAUAACUACAGCUUGGCAUCCUCCACUAAUGUUGUAAGGUCCUGGAGCAUUUUGGCAAUGGUGCUAAAAUGAGGAUGUAAGGACAAAAUCCCCUAGAUUUUCGACAGGUGAGCUUGUGAGGUGUUG